ACGAACGCUGGCGGCGUGCUUCACACCUGCAAGUCGCACGGAAAGGCCCUGCUUUUGUGGGGUGCUCGAGUGGCGAACGGGUGAGUAACACGUGAGUAACCUGCCCUUGACUUUGGGAUAACUUCAGGAAACUGGGGCUAAUACCGGAUAGGAGCUCCUGCUGCAUGGUGGGGGUUGGAAAGUUUCGGCGGUUGGGGAUGGACUCGCGGCUUAUCAGCUUGUUGGUGGGGUAGUGGCUUACCAAGGCUUUGACGGGUAGCCGGCCUGAGAGGGUGACCGGCCACAUUGGGACUGAGAUACGGCCCAGACUCCUACGGGAGGCAGCAGUGGGGAAUAUUGCACAAUGGGCGGAAGCCUGAUGCAGCAACGCCGCGUGCGGGAUGACGGCCUUCGGGUUGUAAACCGCUUUCGCCUGUGACGAAGCGUGAGUGACGGUAAUGGGUAAAGAAGCACCGGCUAACUACGU
rnacentral:rRNA from 1 species